UUUGUACGGCUUUUUCAACGCUUUCUUCGCGUAAGAGGAUGCAGUUUCGGAAUCAACCGCCGAUAAGACAGAUUUGACCUUGUAUUUCUGAAUUAAGGAUUUAUAAUUUUUGGCUGAAAACUCAAAUUGUGUCAAGUGCUUCUGUUUUGUGACAUCUAAAGAAUCUUCUCCGUAAUGGAAUUGGACGAUAGAUCCAUCGGAAUCGCGAACAGUAUGAUCAUAUUGUACACAU